rnacentral:rRNA from 1 species
AGAAUGAACGCUGGCGGCGUGCUUAACACAUGCAAGUCGAACGAAAUCCAAGGAGCUUGCUCUGGAAGAUUUAGUGGCGAACGGGUGAGUAUCACGUGAGCAACCUGCCCCGAAGACUGGGAUAACACCGGGAAACCGGUGCUAAUACCGGAUACCUUCCAAUGACCGCAUGGUCGAUGGAAGAAAUGUUUUUCGCUUCGGGAGGGGCUCGCGGUCCAUCAGCUUGUUGGCGGGGUAACGGCCCACCAAGGCUUCGACGGAUAGCUGGUCUGAGAGGACGAUCAGCCACACUGGAACUGAGACACGGUCCAGACUCCUACGGGAGGCAGCAGUGGGGAAUCUUGCGCAAUGGACGAAAGUCUGACGCAGCAACGCCGCGUGAGGGACGAAGGUUUUCUGAAUUGUAAACCUCUUUCGACAGGGACGAUAAUGACGGUACCUGUAGAAGAAGCACCGGCAACGUAUGUGCCAGCAGCCGCGGU